rnacentral:lncRNA from 1 species
CUUUCCUCCGGCCUGCGCCCCCUAGCGGGCGUCUGCACUCUCCGCAGCGCCGUCUCCUGGCAACAGCAAGGGCACUAAGAGGGUUGCCCAACCGCCCUGGGCUCUCGCUGAGCUCUGGCCUGCCUGGGUCCGAGCCUUCCUGAUCUCCAAACACUCGGAAAAGAAGCAGGUGCCGCGGGAGAACUCUGCGCACAGAUAUGACAGACCUGAAGAUGACAUGAAAGGAAGCAGAACGAACUGGAGAAGUAAAUGAUAGAAGUUAGUUAAAAAGAGUACCAGCCAUAGAAGAACCAUGGAAUAAAUGUCAACUAUGUUAACUUCUCAUCAAAUACUUAUUGAGUGAUUACUACAUAACAGGAAUUGUUCUGAUUCUUGAACAGUAGUAACAAACAAAAAAGAUUAAAAUAACUUUCAU